UUAAUCAACAUCGGUGGUCGGCUU
rnacentral:siRNA from 1 species